rnacentral:tRNA from 1 species
AGGAUUAUAGUUUAUUUACAAAAUAUUUGACUUGCAUUCAAAAGACAUUAAUUUAUAUAAUUUAUCUUG